UAAUAAGUGUUUUAUGGCACUUUUUAAAUCCAUAUCCACCUUGUGUGCAAUGUCAGUCGGUUUUCCUUUUUCGUCAAGAAAAAAAGGAUCGACCAAACAUCAACUUAUUCUAAUUGAACUUUUGUCUGAAAACUAUUAUGAAUAAACUAAUUCAAAAUA
rnacentral:misc_RNA from 1 species